rnacentral:lncRNA from 1 species
CGAUUUUUCAGCUGUAUGUAAGAUAUAAACACAUACCUUUUGUAUGUCAAUUUCUGUUAUAGGGUUGAAAAUAAACUUGAAUUGAACAACCCUAUGCAUUUAAUAGUAUUUUUUGGAUUACCAAGAGUAAAGUUCAAAACAAAAGAAUUGUGUUGUUUCUCAUGUUAUCCUGUUCUUACGGAGUAACUAUUCAAGGCAUCUCCUAUUAAUCAAGUGCAAGACAAGAGAAUUAGCGGACACUUGAGAGUGGAUAACCACUUGAGCCUCAUGACUCCACACUUUCUCAUCAAUUAAGAAUUCAAUUUU